AAUGAACGCUGGCGGCGUGCCUAACACAUGCAAGUCGUACGAGAAAGGGGCUUCGGCCCUGAGUAGAGUGGCGCACGGGUGAGUAACGCGUGGGUGAUCUACCCUUGGAUUUGGGAUAACUUCGCGAAAGCGGAGCUAAUACCGGAUAGUCUGGCUUUUUAACGAAGUCGGUAAAGGAUGCCUCUGCAUAUGCAUUCGUCCGAGGAUGAGCCCGCGUCUCAUUAGCUAGUUGGUGAGGUAACGGCUCACCAAGGCCACGAUGCGUAGCCGACCUGAGAGGGUGAUCGGCCACACUGGGACUGAGACACGGCCCAGACUCCUACGGGUGGCUG
rnacentral:rRNA from 1 species